GUGAGGAAUAUUGGUCAAUGGGCUAAGGCCUGAACCAGCCAAGUCGCGUGAGGGAAGACGGUCCUAUGGAUUGUAAACCUCUUUUGUCGGGGAGCAACGAGGCCACGUGUGGCCGAAGUGAGAGUACCCGAAGAAAAAGCAUCGGCUAACUCCGUGCCAGCAGCCGCGGUAAUACGGAGGAUGCGAGCGUUAUCCGGAUUUAUUGGGUUUAAAGGGUGCGUAGGCGGAACAUUAAGUCAGCGGUAAAAUCGAGGGGCUCAACCCCUUUAAGCCGUUGAAACUGGUGAUCUUGAGUGGGCGAGAAGUAUGCGGAAUGCGUGGUGUAGCGGUGAAAUGCAUAGAUAUCACGCAGAACUCCGAUUGCGAAGGCAGCGCACCGGCGCCCAACUGACGCUGAAGCACGAAAGCGUGGGUAUCGAACAGGA
rnacentral:rRNA from 1 species